AGUUCUAUACUUUAAGAAAAAGAUUUGAUUUGCAUUCAACCAUUGAAACUCUGUUCUAGAACUAC
rnacentral:tRNA from 1 species